rnacentral:siRNA from 1 species
GACUUUAUAAGCAACGUUAUAGAG